UGAGGGACAUAGCUCAGCGGGAGAGGAUCUGCUUUGCGAGCAUCAUGUCCCAGGUUCAAUCCCUGGUACCUCAA